ensembl:lincRNA
UAAAAACAUAAUCUGGCAUCACGAUUUUUCUAACAACUUUUCUCCAUGAUAUAAUAUGUUGCAGGCUGUAAUAGCAGCGGGAGACCCAAGACAGUGCCGCGGGCCUGGAGUACUGCAACGCAGGCUCCAGCAAGGCUGGACGGCUUUGCGGCGUCGUGGGGUGGGAUGUGAGGAAGAGGGCGACCGCUGCACAAGUACCGGCCAAGGCAGAAGAUGGCCAAGGAAAGGUGCCAGAAAAAGUCCUUUCAAGACAGCCUUGAAGACAUAAAGAAGCGAGCGAAAGAGAAAAGGAAUAAAAACUUGGCAGACAUUGGCAAACGCAGGGCCUUCGUACUUGCACCGUGCCAAGUGGUUACCAACUGCCGAAAAAUUACCAAGACAACAACAGAAUGUUAGUGUUAGAUUUGGAAAAUGAAAAAUCCAAAGUGAGAGAAGCCCAAGACAUCAUCCUACAGCUAAGAAAAGAAUGUUACUACUCUACAUGUCAGCUAUAUGCACUGAAAGGAAAACUUGCUUCACAACAAACAGAAAACACUGCUCAGAAGCCAUUGCCAGGGAGAUGGGAUGGGGAAGAGAAUGAGGAAAGCAAUGAACCAGGAAGCACGUCUCUCAGGAAUGGGCUCCCAGGGACGACAGCCCCAGAUUUAUUUGCAAAGGAUUUACCAGCAAAUACUUGGGUAUACUUGAAACUAGUUAGUUGGAAGGGCAGUCUUUUGAACUGGAAAGAAUCUGAUAUGUAGAGCCAGUAGUAAACAUGAAUUUACCAAAAAAUGAAUGAAAAAAUGUCUGUCAAUGGAACAAAUUAAUUUAUCACCAAGGUUUAUUCAACCAAAAAAGUUUACCAAGAUGAAAGAAGUCAUUUUAGAAUCUAAAGCUGAUAAAAAGUCAGCAUAGAGAUAUACUACGAAAAAAAGAAGAAAAAAAGAAAAGCUAACAGAAGAAAAUCUAAAUCUACAUCAAAGUAUAAAGGGAACAAAAGUGAAAAUCAAAACAGUUUGCUCCCCAAAAUUGGAUGAAUCUAUCAGUUCAAUACCUACAAUUUUAAUUUGUAAAAGAGUUUUCAUCUCACUCCUUUCUGACAAAACAACAACAACAACAACAACAAAACCCAACACUGAUUCUAAUAGAGAGGAAAACAACGUUAAGCCUGGAGUGAGCAUCCUUGAAUCCAGCAGUUCUGGAGACGAUUCUGAUGAUCUCUAUGUGCCCCACUGCAAGAACACUCAGAAUCUCACAAGCACAUCAGGGAGACGGGUCACCAGGCCUCAACCUAAAAGAGCGCUAAACUGCACAGAUGAACAAGAGAUGGAAGAUUCUAAGCCAACAAAAACUCCUACUAGUGUACCACCUAAGAUCCGCCCAUCACCUCCAUCACCUCACUGUAGCCUGAAGGACACCAACAAUGUUCCCUUGUUACCCGAAAUAAAAACCAGGAGACUUUGUCUUUCUCCAGAAAAGAAGAAAGAAAGCACAGCCAUGAGUCUGCCUAAGCGUAGGUGCCCAAGCAGCACGAAUUAUAAGGAGCCAACACCAGCUUCGAAGGGAAUGCUCAUGUUUAGUCCACAACUGGCUGGCUCCAAGGCAGGAAGGUCAUGGUGGAGGGUCUGGCGGAGGAAAGCCGCUCACGUUAUGGGGACCAGGAAGCCGAGAGUGAAGGGAGGCACUGAGAGAAGAAACAUCUUCCAGGCCACGCCCCUAGUGACACGCUUCUUCUGAGCGGUGCAUUUAGCUGCCAAACUCGCUGCCCCGUGGUCUACUCAUCUUCCACCUCUGAACAUAUGUAGCCUUUGAAGGGGGGAAAUUCCAGAUCUAACCCAGAAACACUCUCCAGCUUUACAAAAAUUCCAAAACGUAAGGCUCAUGUUCUUUUCUGUAACACAGGGUUAGCUGGGUGCCUAGAGUUA